GGCAACAAUCUAAUGGAGAAUACUUGCUUGCAAAGCAAGAAAACUCAGUUCGAUUCUGAGUGUUGCCU
rnacentral:tRNA from 1 species